AUGGAUAUAGUUCAGUGGUAGAGCACACGCUUAGCAUGCAUGAGGUCCUGGGUUUAAUUCCCUGUCCCUCUG
rnacentral:tRNA from 1 species